UUAUUUUCAAGAAGACCGUCAAGGAGAGAGGACGUACAAAGGAAUCCUGUCUUAGAAUCAACUACGACGUCAUUAUUUCUGAACAUCGUUACAAUCGUGCACGAAGCGAUAAAGAAAACGAGUGUCGUAUCAUUAAAAAAAUGCAAAAAUUGUGAAAUAAAGUCAGUGUUGUUCGUCGUAAAUAAAAAUUUCGGUCGCUAUAAGAAACUCAUCUAUAGUAUCUUAUUUUCAUUAGCUCGUUAUUAAAUUCAUACCAAUCCUAAGAUACAUCAUCAUAAUGACAUCGGGCUCUCGAUUUGAUUUGAAUAAAUCAUGUGACGACUGAUUUUCUUUCCUUUCAAAGAAGAAGAAGGAGAAGAAGAAAAAAAAAAGAAGAAGAAGAAGAAGAAGAAGAAGUAGAAAAAGUAGUGAGUUCUUCGAUGAAAGUUCUCAAAAAGAAAACGAAGAAACUUUCCGAUCUCAGCGACUACUAUGGUUGUUGCAAAGUUGGUGUGUUUUGGAGCCAUCGCAGAACUUCUAUAUCUAUAGUAGAGAAGAGAAGGAAAGUUGUAGUAAAAAAGGAAAUUAUUGCUACUUCGUAUACAAAAGAAAGCUUUCCGCCGCAAGGAAGUAAUUACAGAUAGAAGACGGAAGAACAACGAAGAAGGACUAAAAAUGAGAAAGGAAAUUCGAAGGAAGCAUAUGUAAGUAGUAGUAUUUUCUUAGAUAUUAAAAUGUUUUCUCGUCGCGUAAAUGUCGUUUGAAAAGAAAUUGUGUUGACGAAAUAAAUAACGAAAAGAAUGAAAAACAAAAACAAAAUGAAUAUAAGAAAAUAUACAAUACAUUUGUUUUAAUAUUACGAAUAAGAUUAUUAAAUUUGCACGUGAUAAAAUUGAGAUAGAAAAUAUAAAUUAAAAUUUAUUUAUUUCUUCUUUUUCUUUCACUUUUUUUCAGUUUGGAUAAUUAUGUCCUGUCAUUUCUGAUUUUCAAGCCUCUUGUUGAAGUUGUCCAAUUUUCAUGCCAACGAUUGGACGGUUUGUCCAAUGGCUUCGUAGCUUUUGGCUUUUGUGUUUUCGACCAUUUCGCUAGUUGUUUUGAGCCCAUGACUGUCGACUCGAUCUCUUUAGAAUUUAUUCCAAUGUCGUGAAUAGAAUAUUUUGCGCUUGAUUAUAAAAAAGAAAAAAAAAACAAAGUAUUCUUUUAACAAAAAAAGAUAAAAUAUUCUUCUAUCAGACGAUUCAUAUCUUUAAACGAUAAACGUAAACAUGCACGAGACACUAACCUUGAUCGCUCCAAUUAAAUGAAAUGAAAUGAAAUGAAAUGAAAUGAAAUUAUUAAUUAGAUGGGCGUGCAAAUUUUAUCACAUAUUAAUUGAAUUACCAGCUGUCUUGAGUCACCUUCAAUAUCACGUAGGUAUUGAAUCCCUCUUCCUUUCCUUCGACACUCUCUUGCAAUACUUCUCCUCCUACCCCUUAACACCCAUUUCGUGGAGUAACACGUUCAGGGAAUUAGCGUGAAAUUCGUUCGCGAAAUUGCAUCGCGGUUAUAAGUCGAAGAAUUAAAUCAAUUCCCCAUCGUAUUAAUUACGAUGGAAUUGGAAAGUUAAGUCUCUUUACUUUUAAUACGAUUAUUCAUCUAACUAUACAAAGUGUCUUCUAUUUUUCGUAAUUUCAAUUAAAAAAGAGAAAAGAAUGGGAAAGAAAAAGGAUAAGCGCAAAUAAAAAAACAAAAAAAAAGAAAAGAAAGAAAAACGAAUCAUAUUAUUUACGAGGAUCACAUGUGUUCAGGUAAUUACUCGUUCUCGCACACAUGUAUACGCCACAAUAGCUUAUCUCUUUUCAAAUACUAAAUUAAAGGAGAGUAAAGAAAGAAAUUAAAAAAAAAAAAAAAAAAGAAGAAAAUGAAAUGGAAAAUACAAACUAUUUACGAUGAUUACGUAUUUACACACGUCAUUAAUUUCAUACUCCGCAAGAGAAUUAUUUAGAUAGCAGUAUUUAUUAUCCUCUCAUAAUUUUCUUCUCUUAUUUUUAAUUUUCACUUCACUUUUAUUUUUAUUUAUUCAUUUUUUUUUUGUAAUAAUUAUUAUUGCGCAUUUACCAUGCCAAAAUUUACGAAGCGAUUCUGAAUAAUCGAAAAAUAGCCUCUUUCAAUAUACAUAGGUAUAUGUACAUGCUUUCCAUUAUGAUUUUUGUGGACCAACCUUCCAAUAGCACUCUGUUCUUCUUUCUUUCUUUCUCUCUCUCUCUCUCUCUCUCUCUCUCUCUCUCUCUUUCCCAAUUCAUAGUGCUAUUUUCUAUUAUAUCCGAAAUAAAAUUGAAUGGCACAAUGGUGUGUGUCCCAGUUUACAGAUCGUGAUUUCCUCAUGUUUCAGCACGUAUUUCUCCAUACGAAAAAUUUCAUCCUCACAUUUCUACGUGAAACUGAUGAUCAUUAUUGUAUCGUACAAUCUUUUCUUAGGUUACUAUCGUCAAGAGAUGUAUUCAUGAACAUGGACAAAUCAAAAGAAGAGACAGAGAGAGAAAGAUGGAUAGAUAGAUAAAUAGAUAGAGAGAGAGAGAGAGAGAGAGAGAAAGAGAGAGAAGGAUAUGGAGCAAAUAAAUAUUUUUUUCUUUUCUACAGUUCAACAAAUAGUACACAUUUCGUGGACGAUAAAUCACAAUUACUUUGUGAUUAAUCGAAGAAAAUGUUAAAAGAUAAUGCGAAAAAGGGAAAAAGAGAGAAAAAAAUGGAAAGAGAGAGACAAAGAGAGAGAGAGAGAGAGAGAGAAAGAGAGCAAAUUGUCGCCAUUUGCAUGCUUGCCAAGUUCUCGCGAAUUUUGCGGUUUCUACUCGUUCGCUAAUCGUUUCGUGGAAUUUUGUAAUUUUUUCCAUUUUUCGUUUUGUAGGAACACGUGCGUAGACGAUCGAUGGACAAAUUUUCGUCGGCCCUGCGUGCGCAAUAACCGAGUAUUCGCUCGAUACUCUUUUUUCUUGGAAAAAUUCGUUUUAUAACACUCCGGAAGGCUCGGUCUCUAUAGAAAAAUUCUCUUUGUAAAAGUAGAAAAUUUCUGACACAGCUUGGUUGGUGGCUACCGAACGUUCGUUUUAUAAUAGGAUUAAUGCAGAUCAUUUUCCACCGUUGUAUUAUUAUAACUUUCACAGUUAUGAUCGCUCGAUGAAAUCUCCUGUCCGUCUCAUUUUGUGAAAUCCAUGAAAAAGGAUAAAGUAGAGAACGAUUUUCGUAUAAGCUAAAUUUUUGAUUUAACGAACCAAUUCGCAGACACUCGAUUAUCGCACAUCUUCAAGCUUAUCUCUCUUUGAGAUUUCAUCUCUCGAAUAAAUAAACCGAUAAACGGAUGUGAGAUUAUUAAAGAACGAUUAAGAGUUUAUUUGUCAUUUAUGCAGAAUAAUAAUAAAAAAAAAAAAGAAGAAAAAAAAAGGAAAAGAAUAAUAAUUUUCAAAUCUUCCCGCUCUUCAUGAGAAUGAUAAUUUUCGUUUGUGCAUCGAACAUAAUAUUUCAUUUAUAUAUUCAACCGAAUUAAUGUGUUUUUUUUUUUCGAUGAUUCAAAAAAAUUAAUACGAAAUCGAAGAAUUUAUUAUAUAUUGAUGAUUUAAAUUAGCCUCUCAGUUACUGAAUUCUCGUAAAUUUUUAUAAAGAAUAGUAACGAGUUCGAAUUAUUAAGCGAUAAGUAGAGGAGAGAAUGAUAUAUAUAUAUAUAUAUAUGUUUACAAAGUCGUAAAAAUAUUUGUAGAACAUAUCUUUGCUCAACACCUAUUUCAAGAGAAAAGGAGAAGGAGAGAGAAAGAGAAAGGUAGAAAGCUAUGGUCAUUCGUCGACGAUAGAUUAAUAUCCCGUCGGUGCCAUUGGAUCUCCUUUCUACAGGAUCUGUUCCUGGUACUUUGCCAAAAGCGCAUAGUAUUGUGCGUUCCGGAAGCGGAAACACCUACCUAUCUAACCGACGGUACACGUUCAAAUUUUCCAAAAGCUUCCUGAAAAGGAGAACGAGCAGAGAAGGGUAGAAGAGAUUGAACAUAGUAGGAGGAACCACGGCUACGUUUUAAAGAUAAAGAUAGAGACGGAGAAAGAUAGAUAGAUGGAUAGAUAGAAAAGAGAUAAACUAGCUGGAAUCAAAACUUCCCUCGUAUAAAUUAAUUAGAUUUGUGGAAGGACAAAAUAAGUAGAAAUGAAACAAAAGACGAUUAAGUCUAAUAACGCAUCAUUUUCAUGGGACUUCAUAUCUAAGAUGUAAUUAUGGUAUUUGGUAUUUGGUAUUUUUGAACUUUUUUAGGGCAAUUAUUUCUAAUAUUUACUUUUAAAAGACGAGAUUAUUAAAAAGAUAUUUCACAGUUUUUCUUUUCUUUCAAAAUUCGACGAAACAAUUUACACGUAAAGAAAGAAUUAUUGUAGAGAAAUUUGAGAAUGUUGAUUCGAUCAUUUGUAGUAGUAAAUGGCGAUUAAUUCGAAUGGAAAAUUUAUAUAUUGAACUUUAUCUUUGGGUCUUAUUCAAUAAAGAGCCUGUUGAAAAUCGAGUUUGAAGAUCGAUAUCUAUAGGUCGACGGUACUUGUACUUACUUAAACUAUAAAGAGGAUCCUUUAGAGAAAUUUCGAUGAUGCUUUAUAAUUAACGCGUACGAUUACCUCGGAAGUUCGUAUAAUAGCUAGGUAGGUAGAUACCUAUAUCAAAGAUAAAACCGCUUACGAUAGUCAACUUUGCUGCUUUUCACGAACACAGAGCGAAAAGCCUAGGAAUUACGAGGUUUAGACUUACACACGUAAUUUUUCUUUUACGAUCGUGUCGUAGCGAAAUCGAGGAUUUAUUUUCGUUUUUUUCGUUUUUCUCCUUUUUUUCCUUUUUAUCUUUUUUCUUCCUUCUUUUUUUUUCAGUUAUUUUUCCCUGAAGCGGAUUAACUUUUCUUUCUAGAAAACGAGAAGA